UUUGUUGUUGUUUAUUGGAAUGCUUCUUUUUUAUCGUGGCACAGUCCAGGCUCUUCAUUAUAUGUGUGGUCUAAGCCUCUGUUUCUGUCUGUUCAUAUUCUUAUAAUCAAGCUGGCAGAGAUGGAGGAAAAGCUGUGAGUCAUCACUGAGGACCAAAUUGAGAAGUUGGUCCUUCCAUCAGGAAUCCCACCUACUGUUGAGGAGCUGCAAACUAUUGUCAAAGAGAACUUUGGGAUUUCUGGGGAGUUCAGUCCAAGUUCAUGAAAGUUUGGACAUUUCUUUUGGUCAACAGUCAACUGACUGUGACUCAGAGUCUUAUACAGAGUCAUCUGUAUCAAAUGCAGAGUCCUCUGCUGGAACAUCAUCCUCACAGGACACCAUUAUCCUGCCUAGACGCAGAAGCACCACUGAACGAUGUCAGUCAUGGCCAAAGCAGUUCCCCGUUCCACAGUUUGUAUAUGAGACUGAGAUGUGCCUUGAAAGAGCCGAUGAAGACUACAAAAAGAAUGGAACACUUCUGACUGCCUCAAAGGUCAAGGCAGACAUACUGGAAAAGCUGGCAGAAGCUGUAUAUAUGUAUACAGCUUAUCCAUCAAGUGCACAGAUAAGUGAUGUUGUUGAGGCACUUGUUAAGAAAUAUCCUUGUCUGAAGGAACCUGGCUCCUUCUCAGGUUACUAUGGCUGGCAACAAAGCCUCAAAUACAAGAUGGCAAACUAUCGUACCAAACUCAGAGGCUACGGUGUUCCAGAGGUGAAGUGCAAUGCCUUGAAGUGCAAAAGCCCUGCAGAACAGAAGUCUGCAAAGAAUGUGAAAAAGCCUCGAAAGCCAGAAGUAAACUACCUUCCCCCUUACCCAGCAGGAGAGGAUGAGGAAAGUCAAGAACAGGAAAGGAUUCAGUUGCUAACAGAAGUAAUGAAGAGAGACAACAACAAAUUGAUCAAAGAAAAGAUGGCCAAAACCUUUGCACACCGAAGAAAUGAAAUCAUCAACCAAUCACCCUCCAUAGAGGACAUCAGAGCCAGGUGGCCAGCUCUAUUUGAGGCAUCUAUAUCCAGGAUGAGUUCCACAGAAUCACAAUGGUGCACCUGGAACCAAAGUUCAUGUCCAAGCUGGAUGAGUACUCUCCCAGGCUUCUGAACCUCUUCCAUGCAAAGGGCGGAGCCAUGGGGUUAAAGUUGCAGACUGUCCUACUAAAGGCUCCUAGCAGUCCUACUGUCAGCAUGACCAGAGAAGUUGUCAUCAAGUGUUUUAUCUUGGGGAAUGUGCUGAGCAGCUCUUUAAAGAGUAUGAUGAUGCAGAUGAAGGCAGUGUGGCACAGGAUCUUUCUGUACAAAAGAUGAAAAUAUACAGCAUCAAGAAUAAUCUGACUGAGGGUACAAAAGACUUUGGAAUUGUGAUAGAGGGAACAAAGGUCCUCACUGUGCUGGAAAACUUUCCGAGGGCUUAUGCCAUGCUCGUUGGAUUGACGUAUGCAAUGAAUCUUGCCUCUCCCAUGGAGCUCAGGUACACUUUUGAAGCAUUUCAGAAACUCUUCCUUGAGCUGGAUUGUUCAAAGCUUUCCCCAAAAGUGAACAGCCUCAAAAACAAGUUGUUGGCUUAAGAAGGGACCCCUAAAUACACUGGAGUGCUCAGUUUUCCUGUGCUGCUGUUAAAUGUUCUAUUCUUGUUCAGGAAAAAAAAAAAAAUCACAUUAUCCACACUCAUUUUUGAAGGGUGUGAUGUUAUAUUUUGGACCUAUAACUGGCACAAGUAACUGUUUUUGUAGCUUCCAGGAUUAAGCAAAUGAUACUGCUGCAUUAUAAACAGGACUGUGAGAGUUGUUUUAAAACACAGGAUCUCUUUCGUGGAUGCCAGUGUCAUGGAUGUCAGUGAAAACGGAAAGUCCUCUUGUUUGUCAUUCUUAUGAUUUUUCUUACACCUCACAGCUCCAUUAUGAAGAUGGACAAUAUCCUGCUGGAUCUUUAACUGUGUUAUGUGCCACUGUUAAUUCUGAGCACAAACUGUA